rnacentral:rRNA from 1 species
UACGAAGGGGGCUAGCGUUGCUCGGAAUCACUGGGCGUAAAGCGCACGUAGGCGGACUCUUAAGUCGGUGGUGAAAUCCUGGAGCUCAACUCCAGAACUGCCUUUGAUACUGAAGAUCUUGAGUUCGGGAGAGGUGAGUGGAACUGCGAGUGUAGAGGUGAAAUUCGUAGAUAUUCGCAAGAACACCAGUGGCGAAGGCGGCUCACUGGCCCGAUACUGACGCUGAGGCACGAAAGCGUGGGGAGCAACAGG